AGGCGAACGGCUGAGUAACACGUGGGCAACCUGCCCUUUGCACUGGGAUAGCCUCGGGAAACCGAGGUUAAUACCGGAUACUCCAUAUCCAUCGCAUGAUAGAUAUGGGAAAGCUCCGGCGGCAAAGGAUGGGCCCGCGGCCUGUUAGCUAGUUGGUGGGGUAGUGGCCUACCAAGGCAAUGAUGGGUAGCCGGGUUGAGAGACCGACCGGCCAGAUUGGGACUGAGACACGGCCCAGAUUCCUACGGGAGGCAGCAGGC
rnacentral:rRNA from 1 species